rnacentral:rRNA from 1 species
AUAGCUGACCGUAUCACUCUGAACGCACCUGCUCUCAUCUGAUCUCCGAAGCUAAGCAGGAUCAGGCCUCAUUAGUACCCAGUUGGGAGUGAGAUAAAUUAAAAAUGAGGCAUAUCUGUG